rnacentral:rRNA from 1 species
AGCGAACGCUGGCGGCAGGCCUAACACAUGCAAGUCGAACGAACCUUUCGGGGUUAGUGGCGGACGGGUGAGUAACACGUGGGAACGUGCCUUUAGGUUCGGAAUAACUCAGGGAAACUUGUGCUAAUACCGAAUGUGCCCUUCGGGGGAAAGAUUAAUCGCCUUUAGAGCGGCCCGCGUCUGAUUAGCUAGUUGGUUGAGGUAAUGGCUCACCAAGGCGACGAUCAGUAGCUGGUCUGAGAGGAUGAUCAGCCACAUUGGGACUGAGACACGGCCCAAACUCCUACGGGAGGCAGCAGUGGGGAAUCUUGCGCAAUGGGCGAAAGCCUGACGCAGCCAUGCCGCGUGAAUGAUGAAGGUCUUAGGAUUGUAAAAUUCUUUCACCGGGGACGAUAAUGACGGUACCCGGAGAAUAAGCCCCGGCUAACUUCGUG